GAUGAACGCUAGCGGCAGGCUUAACACAUGCAAGUCGAGGGGUAUUGGUUUUCGGACCAAGAGACCGGCGCACGGGUGCGUAACGCGUAUGCAAUCUACCUUUUGCAGAGGGAUAGCCCCAGAGAAAUUUGGAUUAAUACCUCAUAGUAUAGUACUUUGGCAUCAAGGAACUAUUAAAGUCACAACGGCAAAAGAUGAGCAUGCGUCCCAUUAGCUAGUUGGUAAGGUAACGGCUUACCAAGGCUACGAUGGGUAGGGGUCCUGAGAGGGAGAUCCCCCACACUGGUACUGAGACACGGACCAGACUCCUACGGGAGGCAGCAGUGAGGAAUA
rnacentral:rRNA from 1 species